UUCACUAAUAAUUUUUAAAUAUUACCAUUGAUUAUUAGUCCAUGUGAAUUGAAUGGUGCAGGGAAUAGUGGUUGGUUUCAGGGGUAAUGGGUGAUUUAAUUUCAUGGUGAGUACACUUUAGAGGUCCAUUGUUUGCCUCUGAUUUUACCCCGUUAUUACUUGUCAUUAAGCUACACAUUGGAAGGUUUGCAAGUAACAAUUACAAAUGAAGACAAAUGGUAACAUAAGGUUAUCAAUCUUUGUGGAAGUAGUCUUGGCAGGAAGAGUAGCCAUCAAGAUGAUGCCAUUGAACUUGGAAAUGAAUUAGAUCAUGUUCUUGUUAACAUGCCUGCUUGGCUGCUAUCCAAACGCUUUUGAGGAAUAGUUUGAUGAAGGAUCUACACAAAUAUGCAGAUCUGAUGAAGGAAUUAUCUGAUGAGGACUUGUUUAUAUGCUUGUUUGUUGCUGUCCAUAUUACACAUUAUCACUGUAAAAUGCCUUGAGCUGGCUGUGGAAACCUAUGGAUGGGAGACAAAGAAGAGGCAAAAAGUUGCAUAAUGAAGAAUGACAUAGAGAUGUUCAUGUACUUGUACUGUAAAGAAGAAUAAAAAAAAUGCAUACCAAUGAGAUAAGUUGUUGUAUCACGUAUAACCUGCAUCGUCAAUUGUAAGAGUAUGUAAAUGUAAAUUUAUCAAACAUCAUGAAAAUCCACAGAACAACAUGAAGUAAAAGGAAGCAUAAAUUAGACAAAAAAAAUGCAUAAAUUUACCUGGCUUGCAAAAUGUAUGAGAGAGAGAGAAAGAGAAAGGCAAGGCAAGAGGCAUAAAUUAGACCAACAUGAGUGAAUGUGAUGGCAAGGCAAGGCUUUAAAUACUACUUGAGGGAAGAGAAAGAGCCUUGGGGAGAAAGGGCCUUGGAGCGUGAGAGAGAGAAAGGGCCUUGGAGUAGCACACAGCACUACAGUAGUAGCACACAGCACUACAAAACAAAAUUACUUUUAGCAGAAAUAUAGCUCACAGCACUACAGUAGUAGCACAUAGCACACAGCACUACAGUAGCACCUAUUCAUGUACUUGGCUGAAAGCGACCCGCCAAGCUUGGAGAAGGGCGGAUUUCGCUGGAAAGGGAAGAAAACGCCAAAAUUGGGCGAAAUCCAUUGUAAGAUUUAUUGAUUCAAUGAAUUAGGGCAUAAGUCGUAAUCCAUAGUGUUGUUAAAUGUAAUUUUAAAGCUAAUCACGUGUCUUAGAUGUGGAAUUUUUUAGUCUUAUUGCUAUUACUAGUGUUUUUUCACCAAUCAUCCAUCUAACAUAAUUGUAACUUGUUCAUUUUUAUUUUUUGACAAAUUCAUGUAACUUAUUUAAUUAGUGUAUGUAAAUCCACUUGCAUAAUAGGGUAUCAAAAGCUCCAAUGUAAAACUAAUUGUGAGUUGUUGUAUAUAAUAAAUGCAUCUAUUGACUAUUCCAUCAACAUGGCUCGAUUAAAAUACUGAGUCAAAUUUCACUACUCACAUGGUGAAAAUUCAUGAUCAAGUUAUGUUCACCCAUUUCUUAAUGAACAUGUAAUAUCAAUGAUACAACAAUUGGCUCAAUUAAACCACCAUAAAAA
rnacentral:lncRNA from 1 species